AACUGGACUGAAAUAAGACAGGGAACAUGUCUCAAAGACAAUCCUAACUCUACUUUGCAAGUACACAGUUUAACACCAUACACCAAAAUGCUAAAAGACAAGCAUAGCUAAAUUGAACAAGCAGGAGGCAAAUCACUUCUUUGGGUGAUUAGUCUUGGGCUGUGAAUUCUUUUUUUCUGAUGACUUUCUUUUCAGUGAUGUGGUUCCUGCCAGGUCAACUCUUUCUUUGUCCUUUCUCUGGACCUGCUGGCUUGCUGACACUUGAACAUGCUGGCCUGCAAUUUGGUUGUUUGCUUGCUGGAAUAAGAAGGGAAGACAAGAUUAUAUAUAAUAUGUCAACCAGAUAAUAAUUGAAAAUUUAACAAGAGAAAAGCCUUAACAAGAAAAGCAUUCUUGUUUUUCCCUCUUUCUUUAUUUUUUUUGCAACUUGUCUUAUUAUGGCCAUUGUUUCCACACAAGAACACCUCAUCUGAAUUCCUUGUUUGUUAAACUAUCUCUGAAAGACCUCCACAGUUAUCUGAUGCCGUUUUGCAGAGCAGCACGCACGGUAACACUCACUCUGCCGCCGGCCAACUGCUCGACCAAAUGUCGCCUCCAACUCCACCCGCCGCCUGCUCUUCCCCGGCCUCGGGUCAGGUAGCUCGGCCACCGGUGGCUGCCCCCUCUUCCCCGCGUCAGUGAAGCAUCCGACGAAUCCGGAGACGGGCUCCCUCGGCGGUUCGCCAGAGCGAGGCUAUCCGACAGGCUCAGCGUUGGCGGGCGGUGUGCAGUGCAGCACCAGCGCGCGACGCAUCUGCGGGGUGCUGCCGGGCGCGAGGGUCCCCGCCAUGCGAGCCGGCUCGUGUGCGCGACUGGAAGCUCUUCGGUCAGCGGUUCCACGCAACUGGAUCUCGUCGAUGCUCCCGCAAGCAGGAACUAUUCCCUCAAGGCUGUUGAAUGACAAGUUGAGAAGCUGCAAGGAGCUAAAGUCCUCAAAAAAGUCUGGGAUUUCACCUGACAAGUUGUUUUCUGAAAGAUCCAUCUCGAUAAUUGGUUGUUGGAAACAUUAAGGGAUUCGAGAUUAAUCAAGCUGCCAAUCUGAGAUGGUAUUGAUCCAUUGAGAUUAUUAUAAGACAGAUCCACGCCUUCUGAAAGAGAGAAAAUAGACAAUAGCCCAGGUGGAAUACU